rnacentral:tRNA from 4 species
CGGGGUGUAGGUCAUCGGUAGACCGCUCGAUUCGGGUUCGAGAGGCAGAGAGUUCAAUUCUCUCCACCCCGACUA